rnacentral:misc_RNA from 1 species
GAUGAAGAACGUAGCGAAAUGCGAUAAUUAAUGUGAAUUGCAGAAUUUAGUGAAUCAUCGAAUCUUUGAACGCACAUUGCGCCCCUUGGUAUUCCGGGGGGCAUGCCUGUUCGAGCGUCAUUUCAACCCUCAAGCUCUGCUUGGUCUUGGGCCGCGCCGGCAACGGCGGGCCUCCAAAACAGUGGCGGCGCCAUCUGGUCCCUCAGCGUAGUAAUUCUUCUCGCUGCUGGGCCCCGGUGGCCGCUUGCCAGCAACCCCAAACUUUCUAUGGUUGACCUCGGAUCAGGUAGGGAUACCCGCUGAACUUAAGCAUAUCAAUAAGCGGAGGA